rnacentral:rRNA from 1 species
UACGUAGGGCGCAAGCGUUGUCCGGAAUUAUUGGGCGUAAAGAGCUCGUAGGCGGUCUGUCGCGUCGGCUGUGAAAACCCGAGGCUCAACCUCGGGCCUGCAGUCGAUACGGGCAGACUAGAGUGCUGUAGGGGAGACUGGAAUUCCUGGUGUAGCGGUGAAAUGCGCAGAUAUCAGGAGGAACACCGGUGGCGAAGGCGGUUCUCUGGGCCUGUACUGACGCUGAGGAGCGAAAGCGUGGGGAGCGAACAGG